rnacentral:rRNA from 1 species
AAAACUGGCGCACGGGUGAGUAACACGUGGGAAUCUGCCUAUGGGUACGGAAUAACUGCGGGAAACUGCAGCUAAUACCGUAUACGCCCCCCGGGGGAAAGCUCCGGCGCCCAUAGAUGAGCCCGCGUCCGAUUAGCUUGUUGGCGGGGUAAAAGCCCACCAAGGCGACGAUCGGUAGCUGGUCUGAGAGGAUGAUCAGCCACACUGGGACUGAGACACGGCCCAGACUCC